CGCUUGUCUUCUGGCACAUUCCUGCAAAUAUUAUGUAAUGCUCGAGCUGAACUCACGCCAGGAUUAUGGAGACCCUCUUUCCACUGGACUAAAGCCAUCACUUCAAACCACGCUGAUGGCCCAGAAGAUAACACACUGUGCAACAUGGCAAAAAACAUCUUGGCGGUUCUCAUUUGAGGAAAAACUGUCCUCAGCAACAUAACAUCCCAAAACUACACCCCAGAUGAAGUCAGCAGAGCUGUCACAAUUCUCAAAGAUGGAAAGGGCGGACAGAGACCGUAAGAUACAGAGGUGGACCAGAAUUGUACAAACUCACACAAACAAGCCCUGCCCCACCCCUACAGGCAC